rnacentral:tRNA from 1 species
GUUCUUGUAGUUGAAUUACAACAACGGGUUUUCAAGUCGUAGGUUUCGGUUAGAGUCCGAGUAGGAAUU